rnacentral:rRNA from 1 species
GGAUUAGAUACCCUGGUAGUCCAUGCUGUAAACGAUGUGUGCUAGACGUUGGAAAUAUAUUUUUCAGUGUCGCAGCGAAAGCAUUAAGCACACCGCCUGGGGAGUACGACCGCAAGGUUAAAACUCAAAUGAAUUGACGGGGACCCGCACAAGCAGUGGAGCAUGUGGUUUAAUUCGAAGAUACGCGCAGAACCUUACCAACACUUGACAUGUUCGUCGCGAGAUCAAGAGAUUGAUUUCUUCAUUUAGUUGGACGAAACACAGGUGCUGCAUGGCUGUCGUCAGCUCGUGCCG